UGGGGAAUAUUGGACAAUGGGGGCAACCCUGAUCCAGCAAUGCCGCGUGGGUGACGAAGGCCUUCGGGUUGUAAAGCCCUUUCGGCGGGGAAGAUGAUGACGGUACCCGCAGAAGAAGCCCCGGCUAACUCCGUGCCAGCAGCCGCGGUAAUACGGAGGGGGCUAGCGUUGUUCGGAAUUACUGGGAGUAAAGGGCGCGUAGGCGGCCGAUCCAGUCAGGCGUGAAAGCCCCGGGCUCAACCUGGGAAUUGCGCAUGAUACUGGUUGGCUGGAGUCCGGGAGAGGGUAGUGGAAUUCCCAGUGUAGAGGUGAAAUUCGUAGAUAUUGGGAAGAACACCGGUGGCGAAGGCGGCUACCUGGCCCGGGACUGACGCUGAGGCGCGAAAGCGUGGGGAGCAAACAGGAUUAGAUACCCGGGUAGUCC
rnacentral:rRNA from 1 species